AGUGAACGCUGGCGGCGUGCCUAAUACAUGCAAGUCGAACGGAGUGGCGCACGGGUGAGUAAUGUAUAGCUAAUCUGCCCUACACUAGAGGACAACAGUUGGAAACGACUGCUAAUACUCUAUAGUGUAGGAUGAGGCUAUAUUGUAUCAGCUAGUUGGUGAGGUAAUGGAUCACCAAGGGUAUGACGAAUAACUGGGCUGAGAGGAGGAUCAGUCACACUGGAAGGGAGGCACGGGCCAGAAUCCUACGGGAGGCAGCAGUAGGGAAUAUUGCUCAAUGGGGGUGACCCUGAAGCAGCAACGCCGUGUGGAGGACGACACGUUACGGAGCGUAAACUGCGUUUGAUAGGGAAGCGGUACUUAACGAAGAAGCACCGGCUAACUCCGUGCCAGCAGCCGCGGUAAUAC
rnacentral:rRNA from 1 species